rnacentral:lncRNA from 1 species
ACAAAUUGGACAGUUUUACUGUCAUCAAGUGGAAAAGUGAUACAUGAAGUGCUCGUCCAGUACCCAGUUUUCAUGUAUCUCACAUGAAUUACUUUAGAAAGUCAAGCACCAGUGAUAGCCGGCAAAACGUUACUGGUUGGAGUAAGCAGUGGAAUACAUUAUUUCUUGCAAUUAUUCAAGCCGCUACUUUUGUCGAUCAUAAUAUCUUUCCCCUUCUUUAGGCUCCCCAGCAAGACUUUACAUCAUCUUAACAUCUUGAUAUCCAUAAUUCCUUGUUUCUCAACAUGGGAUUACUUAAUGCCAGCUUUUUUUAUUUUACAGGAAAGAUUCAUAAGUUGCUUGCAGGCUUCUUCUGUAACCUAUUCCACAAUAUGUCAGGCACUAGCGAUCCUACUUGCUGGAUUAGAGCUUAAAAUUUCCCUUGAAAGUUCAAGAUCAUAGCUGUUUUUGUAUUUAGUAAAGAAUGCUGCCAGCCACAUCCAAAGUCCUCUAACCAUUAGCAUUGACUGAAUGAAAGUCAUCCCCUCCAACGCCUUCUCAGUAGGCGAAAACCUGCAACAAACAAUGCAAUGGUAGAAGUUCCAAAUGUAAUUAUGAACAAAUUUGAGAAGGGCCCUGGCCCUAUACUCUGGAUUCCGGUGGGGUCAGAUGUUGGGGUUGAACAUUUUGGAAAUGAUAGCAUUUAUUCCUCUGAUUUUUGCAGUUCUCCACUUUGUUCUAAGUAUAUGAUUGCCUCUGAAAUGUUCAGUGCCAAAGGGGAACUUCUCGGAAACACCUGAAAGAUACAGGAAAAAAAACAACCGAGGAUGGAAACGGAAAUAGUUCUGUUGAACAUACCAAUAAAGAAAAGAAAAGAUGAUAGAUAAUUACAAAGCCAAAACCACCAAGGUUGUGCUGUGUGUUGGCCCUGUCACGGUGAAGCCUUUGCAAUGAAAAGUUUUGCAGGAGCGAUAAGCAACAAAGCUGCUCUGAUACGUCCCACUUGAUAGAGAUUUUACAAAGUCGUCAAUUGAAGCAAUGGUUUUGAUGUUCUCUGCCUUGAAACUCAGAGACUUUUUCUAAAUACCGGCG